GCCGAGAGGAAUGUCGCUUGAAGGGCUGCCAAGGGAGCCAUAGUUCUGUUUCCUGAAAAACGUCAAUGGGAAUGACCAUGAAGACGGGAAGAGGGUAAGCCAGGCCAUCACUUACUCUGCCGUGGUCCGGCCUGCCUACAGGUGAGUUGAGCCCAAUUGCAACAGUUGCAGAAGUCUACAAACGACAACUUCUGUUCAUAGUCUUUAAGCUCUGCUUUCUGCCCCUUGUAUUUGGCCAAGAGGCCAUUCACACCUCUCUAAAAUCUUUCCUUACAACUUCACACUGGUUCCUAUGACAACUGCACAUCGCUGUGGUGGGAAGGGUGGAGGGGCACUACUUUUUAAAAAAAA